rnacentral:rRNA from 1 species
UGGGGAAUAUUGCACAAUGGGCGCAAGCCUGAUGCAGCCAUGCCGCGUGUAUGAAGAAGGCCUUCGGGUUGUAAAGUACUUUCAGCGGGGAGGAAGGUGUUGAGGUUAAUAACCUCAGCAAUUGACGUUACCCGCAGAAGAAGCACCGGCUAACUCCGUGCCAGCAGCCGCGGUAAUACGGAGGGUGCAAGCGUUAAUCGGAAUUACUGGGCGUAAAGCGCACGCAGGCGGUCUGUCAAGUCGGAUGUGAAAUCCCCGGGCUCAACCUGGGAACUGCAUUCGAAACUGGCAGGCUAGAGUCUUGUAGAGGGGGGUAGAAUUCCAGGUGUAGCGGUGAAAUGCGUAGAGAUCUGGAGGAAUACCGGUGGCGAAGGCGGCCCCCUGGACAAAGACUGACGCUCAGGUGCGAAAGUGUGGGGAGCAAACA